AGCUCAUGACCUUAAACCCAGUUCUUCCUGGUAAACCCGUUAAACCAUCUCUCAAGCCCGGUUCGAAACCACCCUUCUCCCCCAAAUUUCCUUUCCUCUUCUUCUUCCUUCACGUGCCGGAUCCCCUCAUUCUCUUUCAGUUCUAUAGGCUACACAUUCUUCUUCAACAGAACCGCAAUCCCCUCUUCCACUGUUUAACCUUCACUUGUUUCUUUACUCCUCUUCUUAUCCUUCGCCUCCAGAUAAUGAUACUAUCUUUCCUUUCUGGAGAAGUAUGUAAAUUCCAGACGUCUUGUCUUCUUCUUAUGUCAUCAACAUACACUCAAGCCUUAAAAAUCCUUCUCCUCUUUCUCCAUUAUCGGAUGACCUCUCUCGCUCUUUAAGCCUUCUUGGACGCCGAGGUCAAUUCGACCUAAUCUUCAUUUAAUCCUCUCGAAAACUGCAACUUCCUGUUGGUUUUACUGCAGCAUUUGAAGAAUGUUCGAACCACAUGAGAUAGCAGCUGAUAAAUCACACAAGAUCACCACUGAUUCGCGACUCCAGACUCUUUGCAGCAGGAGUUCUUGUUUCCUCCGUUUAGAUGUCUUUGCAUUGUCCGUCACCUCUCUCUCUUUGGGCCUUCUUGGUGGCCGAGGCUCAUAUCUUCAUUUAAUCUCUCAAAAACUGCAACUCCCUGUUGGUUUUACUCUCAAAUUUAUGUGAUUUGUUGAUAUUUAAAUUAAUGUUUAAGUUUAAGUUUUAAUUUAUGUUUAUUGUGAAAUUAUUAAGAUUUUGUUAUUUUAAGGAAUGUUUGUGUAAUUUGUGUAUAGCCGGAUUUAAAUAUUGGAAAUCAUUUGUGGACAAAAGAUCAAGAAAAAGAGGAGGAAACGCAGUUUGGGAACAAAAUAUUUUGUAAAGUAUGGCUAGUAAUCAAAUUAAUAUUUAUUUAUCAAAAGUUGGUUGGACAAAUUCAUUAGAGAUUUCAAUUUAAGGACAGGAAAGCUAUUCUCAAAAGAAAAAAAAAAAAUUUAAGGACAGGAAAACAGUUAGAUAGAAAACAAAUGACAAAUAAUGGCAAUUGUUUCGAAAAUAGUGGCAACUUUGGAGAGAAUUACUUCUUAAUGAAACAGGAAUUAUUUGAGAUCACGAAACUGGUUUUAUUUGAUGCUGAUGGUGGAAAUGGUGGGAGAAAAAAACUUAAGGUAAUGUUAAAUUUUCAUUUGAGAUUUCUUAUUUGAAAAUGUGAAAGUAUUAUACUUUAAAUUAAUUAUCAUAUUACUAUAGGUGGUUCCAGAUGCUGCUAGAUUUAGAAUUUCUUUACUUGGGUUCAAUGACUAUAUGGAUGUUAUGUUUUCUGGUUUGGUUAUUACUGGACUUAAAAUCAUGGGCGCCAGCUUUAGGCACCUUACUGAACAAUGGUCAUUCUGAUAAUCCAUGAGGUGUAUUAAUUUUUUGCUAUUUUUAUUUAAGUAAUGCUGAAACUCAUUUGUUAAGUUACAAUGUACUUAUUGUUAUUAGAUUGUGUUGGAAUAUAGAAAAUUUUAUUAGUUCCUUCUCA